rnacentral:tRNA from 1 species
GCCCGGAUGGCGAAAUUGGUAAACGUUGCGGUCUCAGAAGCCGUUGGAGUAAGAUCCUUGAGAGUUCGAGUCUCUCUUCGGGCACGA